rnacentral:rRNA from 1 species
AUACGGAGGGGGCUAGCGUUGUUCGGAAUUACUGGGCGUAAAGCGCACGUAGGCAGAUUAAAAAGUUAGAGGUGAAAUCCCAGGGCUUAACCCUGGAACUGCCUUUAAAACUAGUAGUCUAGAGUUCGAGAGAGGUGAGUGGAAUUCCAAGUGUAGAGGUGAAAUUCGUAGAUAUUUGGAGGAACACCAGUGGCGAAGGCGGCUCACUGGCUCGAUACUGACGCUGAGGUGCGAAAGCGUGGGGAGCAAACAGGAUUAGAUACCCUAGUAGUCC